ACGGAGGAUUCGAGCGUUAUCCGGAUUUAUUGGGUUUAAAGGGUGCGUAGGCUGGUUUUUAAGUCAGCUGUGAAAUACCGAUGCUUACCGUCGGCACUGCAGUUGAAACUGGUAACCUUGAGAGUACAAGAGGCAUGCGGAAUUCACGGUGUAGAGGUGACAUGCAUAGAUAUCGUGAAGAACACCGAUUGCGAAGGCAGCUUGCUAGGAUAUAUCUGACGCUGAGUCACGAAAGUGAGGGUAUCGAACAG
rnacentral:rRNA from 1 species